UACGUAGGGGGCAAGCGUUGUCCGGAUUUAUUGGGCGUAAAGAGCGUGUAGGCGGCUUUACAGGUCCGUUGUGAAAACUCGAGGCUCAACCUCGAGACGCCGGUGGAAACCGUAAAGCUAGAGUCCGGAAGAGGAGAGUGGAAUUCCUGGUGUAGCGGUGAAAUGCGCAGAUAUCAGGAGGAACACCCGUGGCGAAAGCGGCUCUCUGGGACGGUACUGACGCUGAGGUGCGAAAGCGUGGGGAGCAAACAGG
rnacentral:rRNA from 1 species